GCUUCGGUGGUCUCAAUGGUUAGAGCGUCGGACUUGGGUUUGAGAGGUCGGGGGUUCGAGCCCCGGCCGAAUCU